rnacentral:lncRNA from 1 species
AUAUAUAUGAGUCAUUUGUAACAUAAAAAAUAUAGUACAAAAUAAAGUAAAUAUUUUACCUAAAUUUCUACAUGGUAUCAAAGCAACAAAAGGGUAUUUUAAGACUUUUUCAAUUUUAGAGUUUCUUUCAAACUCUAAAAUAUUUUCACCAUUUAACCAAAUGGAGUCCUAGCACCACCAGCAGCCUGCUGCCCUAUUCCAGUGAUCAUCUCCACCCUACCCAAUCCCUCUGCUAAGGUCGUACCCAUCCGUUCACGCUGCUUCCUUGCGCACGGCCUUUGGAUCCCACUGCUCCCUUCUCUGGUUCACGCAACCUGAUCCAACAUGCUGGUUCACGCUGCGCACGGUGUCUUAUUCCGUAGCACACACUUGGCGUCUCUGGUUUGCGCUGCUCCUCUGCGUACGGCAUCCGGCUCCCUCGCACGCAGCACCGAGUCCCUUCACGGACGCACGACCUGACCCUUCUGUUUGCGCCUUGUGCCGCUUCUUCACGCAUCACAGAUUCGGUCUUGCUAGACCCAUCUGCUCUGAUUCGUGCAGGGUCACUCGCGUAAGGUUCCUGCCUUACAGAUUUGUUUUCACGCGGCCGCGCUCUUUUUUUGCAGCUUUUCAAAUCGGAUUCCUACUGUUGUUUGUGCAGAGCUGCACGCCCUUCCUCCUCCUCUGGUUCUUGCAAUCUGCUCUCUCUGGUUGCGCAUCCUCCCAGCAAAUCGUGACCAGACUCGGUUCUAUUUUUUGUUCUCAGAUCCGGCCUUGGCUCUUGUUUCCGGAUUAAAAAUAUUGGUUGUUCCAAAGUUCAGGUAAUCCUUUAUCCACUAUUAGUACUUCAAAAAAUGGUAAAUUCAGGUAUUGCUCCUCUUCUUACUAUUUUCAAUUUUCAUGCUUAGAUUAUAAACUCUGAAACUAACUGACAUAUGAUAAACUAUUUUAAAAACUUCCUAACUUUAUUUUCAUGUAUUCAACAUGAGAAUAUACGUGUCGCAGAUAGAUCAUACACUCCUAUAUCUAGAACAAACUCCAUUAAUGUGCCUAAUUUUCUAACAAUCUCUUAUCUGUUAGUGUCCUUACUAGAGAUUUUAACUGUAAAAUUAAAUUUUUUCCUAACCAUUGUAUUCUUUAAGAUCUUCAAACAGAAAAAACGAUUGACAUUAAUAAACUGCAGGAUGAUUUAUGUCUUGAAUAUAAGUUGAAGCGUGAUUAGUAAUCAAGUUGCCUUCAGAAAUAGUGAUGUCAAUAGUAAAAUCUUAAAAUUGCAUAGACGGUUGGGACGUUCUUCUUUUUUUAUUCUAGAAAAAUUAUAUCCCACAUUAUUUAAAAAUUUUUUUAUAGAUUUCUUAUUUUGUGAUGCAUGUGAGCUACCUAAAUAUAAAUGGAGUUGAUAUAAUGUGAAUAACCAUAGAAAUCUUACUCUUUUUGUGACAAUUCACUCUGAUAUUUGCGGACCCAUUCAAAAUACAUCCUUAUUUGCUUGUAGAUGGUUUGUUACUUUCAUUGACUGAUAUACUAGAUUAACAUUGAUUUAUCUGUUGAAAGCCAAAAGUGAUGUGUUCUCAUACUUUCGAUCAUUUCACAAAAUGAUAUGUAUACAGUUUGAUACUCAAGUUAAGAUUUUAUAAACAGAAACCUGUACAGAAUAUAUGGAUGGUGAAUUCCGUGCCUAUUUGGAGUCUCAUGAGAUAAUUUACAAGACAAGUUGUGCCUACACUAGUGAACAAAAUGGAAUUACUGAAAGAACAAAUAGACACGUAUUGGAGGUAACUCGGUCACUAAUGUUUAUCAUGAAUAUAUUAAAAAACAGUUCCCUCACCUGUUUACCUUAUUAAUAGAAUGUUUUUGUGGGUUCUUAAUUUUAGAAUUCUUUUGAAAGUUUUACAAGGUACAAAUUUCUAUACUGUUUCCCCAAAAGUGUUUGAAUAUGUUUGCUUUGUCCAUCUUAAAAAUGUGAGUAAACUGGAACCUAAAGCUCUCAGGUGUAUAUUUGUUAGAUAUUCUCAUACUCAAAAGGGUUACAAGUGUUAUCAUCCACCGUUUACAAAAUACUUUAUGACUAUGGAUAUUACUUUUAGAGAAUCUAAAACAUAGUUCAGCUCCACUCCAACACCUCUUCAGGGAGAGAGUGAAAUGGAAGAGGUGAUACCCUAUUCGGUUACUUUUAAUAGUCAUAUUAAGGGGGAGAAUUCUAUAUCAGAAGAUCUUAUUUAAGAAAAAAAUGUUGUACGACUAGAUAAACUGGAUUUGAAAAGAUAUUCAAGAAGAGAUAAGACAGGAAAAACCAUCAUGCAAUAUAUUUCAAAUUAAGAAUCUUUUUUAAUUCCUAAAGAUACUGGCGAGUCAUCUUUAUCUUAUGAAUUAUCUGAUAAAUUCAUUACUCUUAGAAAAAGAACCCAAACUUGCACUAAGCAUCCUAUGUCUAAUUUUGUUUCGUAUAACUCCCUAUCUCCCUCCUAUAGAGUCUUUAUUUUGUUUGUUUCCUUUAUAUCCAUUCCACAGGAUUGGAGAGAAACUCUAAGAGAUCCCAAAUAGAAAGAAACGAUGAUUGAAUAAAUGAAAGUAUUGGAAAAAAAUGAAAAAUGAGAGCUUGUUUCAACCCCACACGAAAAGAAAAUGAUUGGUUAUAAGUGAGUGUUCACUAUAAAACAUAAAGCAGAUGGGUUAAUUGAAAGAUACAAAGUUUAACUAGUGAAUAAAGGAUUUACUUAUACCUAUGGAGUUGAUUACUAGGAAACCUUUGUACCUGUCGCAAAAAUGAACACAAUCAAAAUAUUACAAUCCUGCACUGCUAAUUUUGAUUAGGACUUACACUAAUUUGAUGUAAAAAAUAUCUUUUUCUGUGGGGACUUAAAGGAGGAAGUAUACAUCAAAAUUCCACCUGGUUUUGAAGGUGAAAGAACACAAGGGAAGGUUUGCAAAUUAAAAAAGACCUUGUACGGACUGAAAUAGUCUCCAAGAGUAUGAUUUGAAAGGUUCAGAAGAUGUAUGAUUUCUUUUGGAUAUCAACAAAACAAUGUUGAUCAUACCCUGUUCAUUAAGCAUUGUGAGGGAAUGAUCGUUCUUUUUAUUAUUUAUGUAGAUGAUAUUGUGGUGACUCAAGAUGAUAUAAAGAAGAUGACUCGAUUAAAGAGAUUUCUUUAUCAAAAAUUUGAAAUUAAGAAUCUAAAAAAAUUACUGUACUUCUUACGAAUUGAGGUUGCUAGAUCUAAUGAAGGAAUCUUCAUUUUUCAAAAAAAUUAUAUCCUAAACUUACUAGAAGAGAAUAGUAUGAUGGAUUGCAAGCUAAUUACAAGCACGCAAUGGUACAUCAGUUGACAUAAGAAUGUAUUAGAGAUUAGUUGAAAGACUUAUUUAUCUCUUACAUAUCAGACCAGGUAUAGCAUAUGUAGUUAAUCUGGUGAGUCAAUACAUGAACGAUUCUCGCGAGACUUAUUUACAUCCUAUUUUUUGAAUACUACGAUAUCUGAAAUCUGCACCAGGAAAAUAUUUACUCUUCUUCAUAAAUGACCACCUUAAAAUAGAAAAAAUUACAAAUGCCGAUUGGGUUGGAGUUUCGAAUAAUAGAAGGUCAACCACCGGUUACUACACACUCGUUAGAGGUAAUUUGGUUACAUGAAAAAAUAAAAAGUAGAGUGUAAUUGUACGUUUUAGUGCUGAUGUAGAAUACGGAACAAUGACUCAUGAGAUAUGUUAACUUAUUAUGGGUGCAAAACUAAUGAAAGAAUUAAAAUUGUUUAAAGAUGAAAGUUUACCAUUGUUUUGUGACAAUAAAGCAGGUAUUAGUAUUGCUCAAAAUCCAAUUCAACAUGAUCGGACGAAACAUAUUGAGAUUGACCGUCCGUAAAAGACAAAGUGAUUGAUGGCUCUUUAUGCUUAUAUCAUGUGUUUUCUAGCAAUCAGGUGGCAAACAUCUUCACCAAAGGACUUUACAACAAAACUCUUCAGAAUUUGAUAUACAAGUUAGACAUGUGCGAUAUCUUUACACCAACUUGAGGGGGAGCA